GACCGCUGGCGGCAGGCCUAACACAUGCAAGUCGAGCGGUAGAGAGGAGCUUGCUUCUCUUGAGAGCGGCGGACGGGUGAGUAAUGCCUAGGAAUCUGCCUAGUGGUGGGGGAUAACGUUCGGAAACGGACGCUAAUACCGCAUACGUCCUACGGGAGAAAGCGGGGGAUCUUCGGACCUCGCGCCAUUAGAUGAGCCUAGGUCGGAUUAGCUAGUUGGUGAGGUAAUGGCUCACCAAGGCGACGAUCCGUAACUGGUCUGAGAGGAUGAUCAGUCACACUGGAACUGAGACACGGUCCAGACUCCUACGGGAGGCAGCAGUGGGGAAUAUUGGACAAUGGGCGAAAGCCUGAUCCAGCCAUGCCGCGUGUGUGAAGAAGGUCUUCGGAUUGUAAAGCACUUUAAGUUGGGAGGAAGGGUUGUAGAUUAAUACUCUGCAAUUUUGACGUUACCGACAGAAUAAGCACCGGCUAACUUCGUGCCAGCAGCCGCGGUAAUAC
rnacentral:rRNA from 1 species